UCGUAACAAGGUCUCCGUUGGUGAACCAGCGGAGGGAUCAUUACCGAGUUAUACAACUCAUCAACCCUGUGAACAUACCUAAAACGUUGCUUCGGCGGGAACAGACGGCCCUGUAACAACGGGCCGCCCCCGCCAGAGGACCCCUAACUCUGUUUUUAUAAUGUUUUUCUGAGUAAACAAGCAAAUAAAUUAAAACUUUCAACAACGGAUCUCUUGGCUCUGGCAUCGAUGAAGAACGCAGCGAAAUGCGAUAAGUAAUGUGAAUUGCAGAAUUCAGUGAAUCAUCGAAUCUUUGAACGCACAUUGCGCCCGCCAGUAUUCUGGCGGGCAUGCCUGUUCGAGCGUCAUUACAACCCUCAGGCCCCCGGGCCUGGCGUUGGGGAUCGGCAGAAGCCCCCUGUGGGCACACGCCGUCCCUCAAAUACAGUGGCGGUCCCGCCGCAGCUUCCAUUGCGUAGUAGCUAACACCUCGCAACUGGAGAGCGGCGCGGCCAUGCCGUAAAACACCCAACUUCUGAAUGUUGACCUCGAAUCAGGUAGGAAUACCCGCUGAACCUAAGCAUAUC
rnacentral:misc_RNA from 1 species